AUGUGCGUGCCUGUCUUUCUCAUUUUGGUUCUUCAUAUAGGUAACAUCCUGACAAACAUGAUAAUGUCCCAUGACUCCCAAAAACAAGUUUUAGAAGGUAAAAAUGUAAUACUCACAUGUAACUACAGUGGAGUACCUGAUAAUCUCCAUUGGUACCGUCAGUAUCCCAGAUCUUCACCAAAGUUCCUCCUUCACAUCUAUGAAAGUGGGGUGAUGAGUGACAACAUACCACAGCGUUUAACUCCAAGAAUUAAUAAAAACACGAAACGAGUGGAUCUGGAGAUCUCUUCUGCUGCAGUAUCAGACUCUGCUGUGUACUACUGCGCCCUGAGGCCCACAGUCACAGGAAACAAAGCUACGCUGUAUGAAAACAUGAGAAAUGUAUAA